UACGAAAACUACUUUUUGAGAAAAAUAUAAGAAAACUAAAUAAUGAUUUGUGGUAGUAUUGAACCUCAAUUAUUCGCAAUGUUAAAUUUUGACAAGGAACUAGGUACUAGGAACUAGGAACUAGGUACACUUAAUAUUUUUUGACUUUUUACUAAAAAUAGAAAAUUGAUGGAUACUAGAGAUUGUUGAAUCAUUUAAUAAAGGUAAAAUUCUUCACUCUAAAUGGUUACUUCAAAUUUCUACUUAUAUAAAAACGUCUUCGUAUUAUUUUAUAUUAAAUACAUUUUUUAUUAGAACUGGAUAAUAUAUCGGAUUCCAAUGAAAAACUACAAUUAAUUGAUUUUCUCGGAAAAGGAUUAAAUCCAGAUAUUUCAGAGCCAAUGGAAACUGACGAAAAUAGGGAGAAGUAUAUCAAGUUCCUCUAAUCGAUAAUUUUAUGUAUAAUUGUCAAUUUAUCAAAUUAUGAUUAUAUAAUUAUUUUAAAUUGAAUAUAAAAAUAAAACAAUUAAUUAUAGCUUAUA